CCUACGGGAGGCAGCAGUGAGGAAUAUUGGUCAAUGGGCGCGAGCCUGAACCAGCCAAGUAGCGUGAAGGAUGACUGCCCUACGGGUUGUAAACUUCUUUUAUCAAGGAAUAAAGUGAGGCACGUGUGCCUUUUUGUAUGUACUUUAUGAAUAAGGAUCGGCUAACUCCGUGCCAGCAGCCGCGGUAAUACGGAGGAUCCGAGCGUUAUCCGGAUUUAUUGGGUUUAAAGGGAGCGUAGAGGGGUUGGUAAGUCAGUUGUGAAAGUUUGCGGCUCAACCGUAAAAUAGCAGUUGAUACUGGCAGUCUUGAGUGCAGUAGAGGUAGGCGGAAUUCGUGGUGUAGCGGUGAAAUGCGUAGAUAGCACGAAGAACUCCGAUUGCGAAGGCAGCUUACUAAACUGCGACUGACAUUGAGGCUCGAAAGUGUGGGUAUCGAACAGGAUUAGAUACCCAUGUAGUC
rnacentral:rRNA from 1 species